CCUCGCGUCGCCCUCCGCGUAAACACAGUGUCCGUGUGUACCAGGAGUGCAUGAAUCCAUGAGUGUUGGGUGAUUUCAGUGGCAUUCAGUGCUCAUCGAAGUGCCAAAUACAGUGCCAAAUUGUGGUUUAGUGCAUGAUGGAAAUAUACAUCUUCAUCGGAAUCGCUGUACUGCUCUAUUCGUUCUGCGCUUUCUUGUACAACAAUAAGUGCUGGAACCUGGAGCCUCCGAAGUGUGAGUGUGAGGAGUGCAAGAGCCUUUAUCGGUCCAUCACGCCGUCAGUUCUUUCUGUCUCCGGGAAGAUUGAAAUCGUGACGGCGCCUU